rnacentral:rRNA from 1 species
CUUACGGGAGGCAGCAGUGGGGAAUAUUGGACAAUGGGCGAAAGCCUGAUCCAGCAAUACCGCGUGAAUGAUGAAGGCCUUAGGGUUGUAAAGUUCUUUUAGUUGGAAAGAUAAUGACGGUACCAACAGAAAAAGCCCCGGCUAACUCCGUGCCAGCAGCCGCGGUAAGACGGAGGGGGCUAGCGUUGUUCGGAAUUACUGGGCGUAAAGGGCGCGUAGGCGGAUUAGUAAGUUGGGAGUGAAAGCCCGGGGCUUAACCUCGGAACUGCUUUCAAAACUGCUAGUCUUGAGUGAAGUAGGGGAUGAUGGAAUUCCUAGUGUAGAGGUGAAAUUCUUAGAUAUUAGGAGGAACACCGGUGGCGAAGGCGGUCAUCUGGACUUCAACUGACGCUGAGGCGCGAAAGCGUGGGGAGCAAACAGGAUUAGAUACCCUAGUAGUCCACGCCGUAAGCGAUGAGUGCUAGAUAUCGGGAGUUUUUCUUUCGGUUUCGUAGUUAACACGUUAAGCACUCCGCCUGGGGAGUACGAUCGCAAGAUUAAAACUCAAAAUGAAUUGACGG